rnacentral:rRNA from 1 species
UGGGGAAUAUUGCGCAAUGGGCGAAAGCCUGACGCAGCCAUACCGCGUGUGUGAAGAAGGCCUUCGGGUUGUAAAGCACUUUCAGUGGGGAGGAAAAGCUGGUGGCUAAUAUCCAUCGGCCGUGACGCUACCCACAGAAGAAGCACCGGCUAAUUCCGUGCCAGCAGCCGCGGUAAUACGGAAGGUGCGAGCGUUAAUCGGAAUUACUGGGCGUAAAGCGCACGUAGGUGGCUUGGUAAGUCGGAUGUGAAAGCCCCGGGCUCAACCUGGGAACGGCAUUCGAUACUGCUGAGCUAGAGUACGAAAGAGGGGGGUGGAAUUCCAGGUGUAGCGGUGAAAUGCGUAGAGAUCUGGAGGAACACCGGUGGCGAAGGCGGCCCCCUGGUUCGAUACUGACGCUGAGGUGCGAAAGCGUGGGGAGCAAACA